GGGGAUUUAGCUCAGUGGUAGAGUGCUUGCCUAGCAAAUGCAAGGCCCUGGGUUCGAUCCCCAGCUCCG
rfam:Rattus norvegicus chromosome 1, whole genome shotgun sequence.